rnacentral:lncRNA from 12 species
GACAGUUUACCGACUCAUAAAACGAAUGAAGGGCAGCAUCAAGAUUGCACCCCAUGAUCCGCAGUCUGCGCUCUUCUUGCUGUGUGUCAGGAUCGCACCAUUGCUGCCCCUCCUGUGCUUGGUCCUUAGAUGCUGGAGGACACGGGGCCUGGGAAAAGCCUCAUCUCAUUCUUUCUUCAUUUACUGCAAAAUAUUUUUUUGAACCUCAACUCCAGGCAUAGCUUUUCCAAGAAGGAUUUUUUUGUUUUUGAAAAUAUUUUAUUUAUUUGAGAGACAGAGAGAGAGAGAGAGAGAGAGAGAGAGAGAGUGCAUGAGGUGGGGGGAGGGGCAGAGAAAGGGCAGAAGAAGACGGAGAAGCAGAUUCCUUGCUGAGCAGGGAGCCAGACACAGGGCUGGAUCCCAGGACCCCGAGAUCAUGACUUGAGUCAAAGGCAGAUGCUUAACCACCUGAGUCACCCAUGUGCCCCUCCAAGAAGGUUUAUCUUUAGAUUCCUACUACAAUUUUAAUGAUGAAAUGAGGUACUUUUGUGACAGUAUCUUAUAAACUCCAAAGAACCAAUGUCUGACAUUUUGGUCAUCAUAAUAUAUUCAGAAAGCCAGUAGAAUGGAGGGUGUGAAUAAGAUUCUUAGGAGUGGGUGAACAAUACUCUCAAGAGAACUUCAGAGGAAAAAAAGUGUAAAUGCAACCCAAACAGAGUUGCAGGAAGUGCUAAUUUUCCUUCCCUCAGUUUAGGAAAUGGAUAGAGAAGACACUGUGGUGGUUGGGACUUGAGCCAGGCUCCAAAGUCAGGGUGGGACUUAGAAAGUCAGGGAGGAAGAGAGGAGAAUUUCUCAUCAUGGAACAGCAAGAGAGCAUCACAGAGACUAUGACAUGGACAAUGUGUCUAGGGGACACUGAGAAGCACAACUUGGCGGUAGCAGAUGGAUGUGUUUUGAGGACAAGAGAUGGGUAUGGAGAGGUGGAGUGGAGUCUUGCUGGGGAAUGCUCCUCAUACCAGGUGGAACAAAUGAGAGGUUGCCUCUGGCCACAAAGUUGGGUUGUGGCAGAGCUGGAUGCAGGCCAGAAGCGUAAACCCGGAUGGAGCAUAAACCAGGAUCCAGAAGGAGGAGGAAAAAGGGAUUCACACUGCUUCUGCAUUUCCAUGUUUUUUUGGUGGCCUUUCUUCCCUCCUUACUUGACUUGCUUGGCUUAGAAGCAUUCCCCUUGUUCCCUUCUGAUUUACUACAUUUUUCUCUAUAAACUCUGCAUCUGGGAAAGUAUGAGCCAACCCUUUCUCUAGCUUGUUUUAGGUGCUGCAGACAAAGGCACUAAAUAUUUUUGGUGGAUGUACUUCUGUUACUAUGCUCUAGCUCAGCAUUUGUCCUCCGGAUAAGCUAUAAAAUUAAGGUCCUAAUUGUAGUUUGGUGCUAAGAAUCCCCCCUGACGCUGGUCAGUUUCAAGGGCAAAUGGGUGCUUUGAAUGUUCAAGCAAGGUGCCUAAGUGCCUUCUGUGUUCCCGGAGCUGUGCUAAGAGUUGGGGGUACAGAGAUGAGCAAGGCACCUUUGCUUCCCUCGAUGAAGCUAUAGACAGGCCCGUAAACAGAUCAUGUCCGUAAGACAUUCC